ensembl:lncRNA
UUUCAGUGCCAAACCUAAAGUCUCUGUUUUAGCUCCAUAUCAACCCGGGUUCAAUUCAAUUUCUUUAACGCCUUUGUAUGUUGCGUUGAGAAAAGCUUCUGCUCAAUAUUCAAACUCCACUGUUAUGCUGAGGAUCUGCGUUGCGUUUGAUUCAACGCUGGUAAACAGGUGACAUACGGUCUUCAUCUGCAAGGUAACCAGGAGGUGCAGCUGAGGGGUGUGUUUAACACAUUAGGAGGGUCCUUCUGCCUGAAGACUGAUGGCAGUCCAACCUGUCAUUUUCACUGCCAACCCUCAUUAGACUCCUCCCAACGCAGUCUCAACCGCCAAUGGAUUUUCCAUCAGUAUCCAAAGAAGGGAAAGGAUGAAUUGAAAAGGAUGGCACAUGUCUCUAGUUGGGUGUGGUCUACCUUGUUGAGACACAUAUCUGGAAGCCUUACUGUAAUUACCAAGAAUGUUUUGAGACCCACUGGGGAUUUAGAGUACACAGGGUCUGACGUGCUGCAUAUAUGGAUUCACCUCACUGACAUUUAAUUGGUUGUUGCAUUUCUGGAGGGUGAUUAAGGACAAACAUUUGAUAGAGUUAUUUCUGUAUAUCUGGAUUAAAUGGACCCGUGGACUCGUCUGAACUACUGUUACACAAUAAGUUACACAUACCAUCAACCGAAAAAUGACUAACCUGGACUUAUCAACGGAAUUUCUUUAAAUUGCAUCAACAUGAACAUGCACCACUCUAACAGCUUCUGCUUUAAAUGACAAUUUCACAGUAGACAGUAGACUUAGGCCUGUUCACAUUAAGCUAAUUGAAACAUUGCAUGAGAUCCCACAGAAAUGAAACACCAUAUUGUAUUUGAGCAUGUGUUUGAAAUAAAAGUCCGAUGGGAACCAUUCAGUUCUCUUUGGGCUUAAUUGGGCCUCGCAUGAACAGAGAGGGCGGAUAAAGAGAUGCAGGGGGCCAGCAUCUGCACAAAUGAGCUCAAUAAAACACAGACAUCAUGUUUAGCACUAAAC